CAACGUAGCUCAACCGGUAAAUCGAGCGCUUCGCCUUUUGGCUCAGCUCCUUCUUUACCAUGACAGACCGAUACAAAGUCCGCAUCACAAUAAUGAUGCAAUACUGAGGACACCAAACCGUACUCUCACAACGCCUUGGCUGUGUCUAGAAAUUCUAAUCAAAGUGUCCUUUUGUAAUGACAAAAGGCAGCCUUUGCGGAGACCAACCGUCACUAGAAAUGAAUCGGACUUAAUGCCGGCAAUGCGAACCAAACUGU